CCGCUGGUGUACCAGUUGUUCCGCCAGGAGCAUAGCUGGGUAGCUACGUAUGGAAGGGAUAAGUGCUGAAAGCAUCUAAGCAUGAAGCCCCCCUCAAGAUGAGAUUUCCCUUGGAGUUAAUCCAGUAAGACCCCUUAGAGAUGAUGAGGUUGAUAGGUCUCGGGUGGAAGCACGGUGACGUGUGGAGCUGAGAGAUACUAAUCGGUCGAGGACUUAUCCUA
rnacentral:ncRNA from 1 species